rnacentral:ncRNA from 1 species
GACUUUACUAUCGGCUUUAACCCAAUUUAUACAUGCAAGUAUCUGCGCCCCUGUGAGAAUGCCCUCAAUCCCCCGUCCGGGGACGAGGAGCGGGCAUCAGGCACCAAAAUAUAGCCCAAGACGCCUUGCUAAGCCACACCCCCAAGGGAAUUCAGCAGUAAUAAACAUUAAGCAAUAAGUGAAAACUUGACUUAGUCAGGGUUAAGAGGGUCGGUAAAAUUCGUGCCAGCCACCGCGGUUAUACGAAAGACCCUAGUUGAUAGCCACGGCGUAAAGGGUGGUUAAGGUAAACAAAUAAAUAAAGCUAAACAGCCCCUAGGCCGUCGUACGCAUUACGGGAGCUAGAGACCCAAACACGAAAGUUGCUUUAAAUUAAAUGUACCUGACUCCACGAAAGCUAAGAAACAAACUGGGAUUAGAUACCCCACUAUGCUUAGUCUUAAACCAAGAUGUGCACUUACACACACAUCCGCCCGGGUACUACGAGCAUAGCUUAAAACCCAAAGGACUUGGCGGUGUCUCAGACCCACCUAGAGGAGCCUGUUCUAGAACCGAUAAUCCCCGUUAAACCUCACCACUUCUUGUUUAUCCCGCCUAUAUACCGCCGUCGUCAGCUUACCCCGUGAGGGCUAAGUAGUAAGCAUAAUGGGUACACCCAAAAACGUCAGGUCGAGGUGUAGCGAAUGAAGUGGGAAGAAAUGGGCUACAUUUUCUACAAACAGAAUACUACAGAUGGCACCCUGAAAAUAUGCCUGAAGGUGGAUUUAGUAGUAAAAAGCAAAUAGCGUGUCCUUUUGAAUUAGGCUCUGAGACGCGCACACACCGCCCGUCACUCUCCCCUCUUAAACUCUUAAAAAUAAUUACUAAUAAAAUAGCCUUUAUAUACGGGGAGGCAAGUCGUAACAUGGUAAGUGUACCGGAAGGUGCACUUGGAAUAACU